rnacentral:ncRNA from 1 species
UAUAAAGCGUAGACGAGGAGAAGUAUGGUUUACAUGCUCAUAGUAGAGAGGGUCAUCAUCGGCUGGAAGUGACCUGAGCCACUGGAAGUCAGAAAUGCACCUCUGAGCGUCUUACCGAAAUAUGAAGUAGGUAGGAACGUUUUGUCCUCGUUACCGGACAUUUUGAGUGAAAGCAGAGAUGCUUUAACCAGAGUGGAACCACGUAAUGUAUGCGUCUCUGUC